rnacentral:rRNA from 14 species
CUGGGCCACUACUGACGCUGAGAAGCGAAAGCGUGGGGAGCGAACAGGAUUAGAUACCCUGGUAGUCCACGCCGUAAACGUUGGGAACUAGGUUUGGGUCUCAUUCCACGAGAUCCGUCCGCAGCUAACGCAUUAAGUUCCCCGCCUGGGGAGUACGGCCGCAAGGCUAAAACUCAAAGGAAUUGACGGGGGCCCGCACAAGCGGCGGAGCAUGUGGAUUAAUUCGAUG